GCGAUCAUACCAGCAUUAAUAUGUCGGAUCCCAUCAGAACUCCACAGUUAAGCGUGCUUGGGCGAGAGUAACACUAGGAUGGGUGACUCUCUAUGAAGUCUUCGUGUUCCACCCC